rnacentral:lncRNA from 1 species
UCAAAUGUAUACAUGUAGAAAAGAGUAGAGGAAAAAAUAGAAAGAAAGAAAUAUAUACACAUAUUACAAUGAGCCAGGUGUCAAUGUCUACAUCAAAAGAAAAUGUUUUUUCAGGUGCAUAACACUAUCACUGCAAAAGUCAUGCCGGGAGGAGACGAGGUUUCCAAGUCUGUGAAGUCUCGGGAUAGUGCUGUGAUGUACAUAACUGGUUGAGUAGACACGACGGCAGAAAGUGUGAAGGGACCUGGUCUGAUGAGGCACUCGGAAGUCGAUCCGCCUGAGCAGUUCUGGACAAUUCACGUCUCCGUUAAUUAGUUUAUGGGGAAAACCACAUCUAAAAGUUGUCUACGCUUCACAAGCGAGUUCAAACCCAAGGAAAUCCCCAAAUCCUCCAAUGGCACAGUUCUGCAUUCAAAUCCACAUCUGACUCUAACCACCCGCAAGAAGCGAUCCUGGACACUUUGGAGCUGCUGGAUAUGACCAACCUGAUAGGGCGACCAGACAACGCUGCCAUAUGCAAGCACUGACCUCACCAGAGCAGUAAAGAUAAACUUCAUAGCUGCAACACUCAGUCCGCUUCUUGAAGUUCUGAUCAGAAAUCCCAGAUUACGAGAGGCUUUAGUGGUGAUGGCAUCAAUGUGGGAUUCAGGGCCAAGACUGUGGGAGAUUAUGAUUCCAAGAUCUCUAAUAGAAGUUUUACGAAUGAGAGCAGAGUUAUUGAGUAUGUAAUCAAACAGUAUAGGAGUGAGUUUAAAAUUUCAUGAGGAUUAUUUUGGUAAGAUCAUAUUUUAUUCAAAAUUUGAGUAGUGCAUUCUAAACCAAAAUUUUUAAACAUCAGUGUAAAUGUAAAUAACAUAUUUACACUUUUUGAAAAUUAAAUAUAUCACUAAACAGUAACAAAUCAAUAAAUAGGUAUGUGUUAAAUUAGUAAAGAAAGUAAUUGGAAAAGCAAUACAAAAACUGCCUUGAACUAAAGUAACAAAAAAGUUGUAUUGUAGGAGUGUAUAAAUCUGUAUUGGCUCUCCUUGUAUUCAAAGAAUCUACCUAGCUGUCAGGAACGCCAGUUCGCCAGGCAGUUACCUCUGAAUACAUCGCAGUGCAUGUAUUCAUAUGUAUCCAUGCAGUGCAGUCACUUACCUCGGUGUUCAGGGGCAAUCUCAUUCGCCUUCAAUUUCCCUUUGGUAGAGAUUGUCCUAUUUCUCCUCAUGUAUUUUUUUACUUCUAGUAGAAUACAUUUCUAGACAGUUUUCUAUUUACGUUUCUUCCGUUGUUCUGAUAAGACUAGGGAUUUAUUUUAAAAUUCUAAAGCUGUUUUUAACAGUAAUAAAAAUCGUUUUACGUGUAAAACGAAACUUUAUUAUUUUAAUGCCAUAAUAUGAAUGGGAUAUUAGCUAUAUUUAUUUAAUCUCCAUACUUUAUUAUAAAGACGGUCAGGUAUGUUAAUCAACAUCUAAUUUAUCUCUUUACAUCUCAGUUAAACCUAGAUGUCAUAAACAUCUUUGUUGUGUAAACGUUGAGACGUACAUCUAUAUUUGAUGAAAUACUUUUUGCUGUCUUGUACAAAUUUCUUAGUCUGUCAAAAUAUAUUUCAAAAACGGUAAUUUAAAAAAUAAUUUAGGAUAGUUAGAAUGUGCAAUAUAAAUUACUAUACUUAUAUUUGAAACGGUAUAUCUGUUCAUACUAAGAAGAGGCGUAAAGUAAUCUCACCACAAAAUAGUUUUCACUUAUGAAUUGAUUAUGUAGGGAGUUACUUAUUUUCCAUGUACACGAAAUUGCCUUUUUGCCCAGCGAAAAUGAAUGUAUUUCGUACAAAUAUGUUAUCUUUACUUCAUUCCAACUGAAUCUGAAAAAUAAUUUCUUAGUUUAAUAUUAUGAAUGAUAUGCAGCCCUUUAACAUACUGUUAGGGCUUAAACAGUUUCUCUACCUCUCUCCUUUAUGACCUCUAAUAUCUAUUUUUGACCUGAAGCUGUUCUUAAAGCAGUUAUUUUUGUUAGUUAACAAACAUCACAUAAUGAUUGUUCGUUCUAAAAAGUACAUAAGACAUUACUAGACAGUUUGAGGUAUCCAGUAAGUAACGAGGUUACUGGGCUCGUCAGUAACAUCCAGGUUACCUGUAUUGCAGCGGCGAUUCUGCAGACUCAGGACAACCUCGCGAGGUAUCCAGACAGGUCCUUGGAAUGCAGCACGUGCCGAGUUGAUCUGCCCGGUGAUAAUGCGUUGAACGUGUUGAGGUAAUGGUGCGUAUUGUUGGUGUAUCUCGACCAGCGCAUGUACCUCGACAGGUCGUUGGUAUGCAUAACGUGUCAAGCAUCGGCGUGCAAAACGUACCAAGGCACCUGGCCAAGUCGUUGCACGGAACGUGUCGAGAUAAUUGGGCCGGUUAUUAACAUGUUGAAUGUGUCAGAGUUGUACGGUAUAUCUUUGGAGUAGAGAAUGUAUUAUCUGGACAGUAUAUUGAUAGGAAGAACGUGUGAAGAUUAUUUGGCUAGUUGUUAGUAAUGUAGACGUGUCGAGGUAACUGGGCACAUCGUUUUGUGCAUAACGUUCCAAGGGGUUUGGAAAUAUCGUUGUUGUGGAAUGCAAUACUUACUAGUAUCUGAUUUAAUGGUUUAAAUAAUCAAUAAAUAUUAUUUUAAUAAUACAAUUUUGAAUAUUCCCAAAUAUACGUGAUCAAACAAACAAUAUAAUAAAUAUUGCGGGAGCGAUUCUGCAUUGUGACCGUGUGAUACACACGUAAACCGACAUACUCGUAUCUUACAUGAGUUCUUGUUAUAUGGUUCUGAAUGUAUUCAACAGGAACUUGUUCUCUUAAUUUUAAAUUAUUGUUAUAGCAUAUUGAAAUAAUGGUUUCUACAUAAAACUACUAUACUUAGAACCGAUCAUGAAAUGUAGCUUUUAAGUUAUUAUAUUACAUGAAAAGUAGCUGUAGAAAAGAAAAGUCCAGGACGUUUGGAUACUACGGGAAGUCCUAGAUCUACAAACUCUUUAACUUUUACCUCCAUAUAUAAAUAAUAAGUUAUAGUACUUUUAAAAUAACAAUGAAUCGAACCUUGAAGAAUGUUGGUUGAAUUCAUGUGCUGCAUGAAAAUGACUUGGAAUUAAAAACAAAUAUUGUUUGAUUUGCGACUUGAAAUGUCGCACCACAUGGUCCAAAGGGCCUUCGAUCAUCCAGCAUGUGCUGCUUGAAGCGAAGUAAGACAUGCAUUGUUUCCAUAUCUCGUUUCCACCCUUCCCCCGAUGUCGAUCAUAUUUCCAUCUAGGGGAUCCUUGCUCUUCCACCCUCGACUCCCCCUGGUAUCGGUAAAAGCAGUGAAUAUUCCCUCAAUGAAAAAUUCUCAGCGCGUUAGGAAACCCCAGGCUCCAUACACGUGUUAUAUGAAAUACUUUGUAUGUACAUAUUUAUCAUAAUUUUUUAAAACAAUAAACUGUCUUAUUUUUCUAAAGGAUCAUUUCAAUGUAUGUGAAAUCCAAGAAAGUACUGUAGAACAAAUAUUCAUGCAAUUAAUUAUGUUUAAAACCAGCUGUUAUGAAACAAAUUAAACCUAACAUUUAACCUGAGCAGUUUUUAAAUAAAAAAUUGUAAGCUGUUCGCCAGGAAAGGUCAGUAAAAACAUUAAUAUUGGAAUAGUUUUACAUCGCUUGUUUAUGAAAUCCUCUUUAAAUAUAUUACUUUUGUAUUCAUAUUUAUGUAAAAAUCUAUUUUUCUCUAAAUUUUAUUAUAUAACCGAAACUUUUGUUUCCGUACUGAUGAUUUAUUAACGCUAACCCCUUCAAUUGCUGUGACUGGUUUUUAUUUGAAACUGUAGAAUUCUUUUAAUAAUUCUAUAUGUUUAAUAAUACCAUUGAUCAUUGCUGCAAAAAACUAUUGCGUAUUACUUCGUAAAAAUAGUUAAUAUUUGGAGGGUUUUAUAUUAAUCAUAAAACAAGUACACAUUUUUGAGAUAUUUAUAAAACAAUUUAAGGCAAUUUUAGGAACUUUCUCAUCGAAAGAUACGAUCACUGUGAUAAAUUAAAUAUGCUUUACAAUUUUGUGUUUUAAUAUUAUCACUGAUGGUGUUCGUGGACUUGAAAAAAAAACAAAUAUCAACAGAAGAACAAACCAAUUUGGAGAGAGAGCAGAGGUCGAGCGAGUGUAGCAUGUAAAUAGAUUGUUCCCUGUGGGUGGUGUACCGUGUUUAAAAUUCAUUGAAAAUUUACAUUCCAAAGUCCCUACGUAAACAAAAGUCACAGUGUAGGCCGGGGGUGAAGAGGGGUUGUAGCUAAAAGAAAAUCACUUGUACAAGAAGUUCGAAUUAAGCGAAUUGCCGAGACGAGGGAACGAGUUGUACUUGUACAGUCGAGAUGAGCACUCACCUUCAUUAUUAUAACGAGAGUCGUUGCUAGCAGUUUUAUUAAAUUGAACAAGUCAGGUGGUACUGUAUCAGCGAUCUACUGGCAAACAGCUGCUCCCGGCUAAACUGUUUACAGCCUCUGCCACUGAGACUUGUACCACCUUCUAUCACAAUCUUCUAAGUGCUUUCAUGUGACGUUGUCACCGCCUUGCUUCGCUUUCCUUCAAAUGUUCUGCUGUCUUUGCACUUUAUUUGUUUUCUCAAACUCCACGUUUAACCUUUUCCCUUUUCUGCUACAAAGGAAAUUCGCAGGGAGCAGAUGUCUAAGACCGAUUUAUUUAGACUUAUUGAGAGAUUGUUACAUAUUCAACAAAAAUGGUUAGUUUUUAAACUUUUAACUGCACUCAUAAUCAUAAAUAUAACAUGACAUAUAAAAUAAGCGAUGAUAUAGUGUUGUUAUGUAUGAAACAAAUAUUUCACACUCUUUGAUAGCUAAUUUUAAGCUUGAAUUUAACUAUAUAACAUAUUUUCCAUUAUUUUAAUAAAAUGAUCCUAAAUGUAGAAUGUACAUAAUUUCAUUGACAACCGUUCAAAAUGUUCGUGAUACAUUGAAUACAACUUUCAAACUAUGUCUGAUUCAAUUUAUAAAUAUACCUAAAGUAAAACUUCUUGAUGUAAAACCGUACUUAUCUAUUUCUCAAUAUUUGUAUUCAAUGUGCUGGUUGGAAUGUAAGUGGUAGCUAGUUACUAAUUUUGUUUAGUUACCUUUUUAACACAUUUCUAUGAGGACUAAGAAAAAUAAGUUUUUGUAAAAAAACAAUGUAUAGUUUAGUAUUACAUACUAUUACCUUAUAACCUUAAUGAAUAUAUCAAAAUGACAACCAUAAAGGGAAAUUAAACUUUAUUUUUAUACAUUUUUUACGUUUCUGUUUUGCAGAAAGAUGUACAUCAUCGUAAACAAACUUCAGACAUUAUUUGAGCUGAACUUAUCGCAUACAACACAGAACCCUCUAAAACUAUAUCUAUCAAAUACAUUACAUAAUGCACGUAUUCCUGUGAGUUGUUACACAAAACAGUCGGCCCCAAUUUCAUAUUUGUACUUUCAUAUGUACAAAUAAAAUUAUGAUUCAUUCCUUAAACAGAAAUCGUAGUAAUAUACACUAUUAUUUGCUCCUUCAAAACAAUAAGCAUUAAUUUACAGAGUCUUGAAUAUUAUAGAAAUUUGUUUAAACUUUUUUCAGUUUUAAUAAUCAAGUAAUUGUAACAGAUAGAGAGAUCUAUAAAGAAGUUAAUUAGAUUAGAAAGAAGCAAAUUAUUAACCAUAUAACUGAGUCUUUAUAAUAUUAUUUGACAAACUGACAUUCUAAAAUUGUUAACUUUUAACGUACAUUUUCCUUGAGCGAAAGUAGAAAACGAAUUAUUUGUCAAAGCUACUAAAAUAUAGCAGUUUCUAACGUAAACACACAUCUACCGUGUGAAGUAUCACCCGCCAAUACACUGAGAUACGAGCUUGUAGUGUCAGUGUUCUCAGGAAUUCCCUAAUUUGUUGCAUGCGUUUUGUCUCACGGUGGUUUUCAUUGUUGCAGAGGAUAGAGGCCUGACGCAGCUUGCAGUUAAAAGUCCGGCCCUGCGCAAACCGCCUAUUGUGCAACCCCGGCCGGAAGGGUGAAGGGCAACAGCAGAGGAAAGUGAAAUCUACAGGUUGGACGGACUGCCCAAUAAAUCAGGAAAGGGUUCUAAUGGAAAUAUCAAGACUGAAAAUGACCUAAAGACUUGAGGAGAGCCUGAACCACGACUCGCGGUGUUUCCCAGGUGUACUCCUACCUUGUGUUUCAAAAAGUUCAUGAAAACGACCAGUUCUUUCGCAAAUACAAAAUAGAAUGGGAGUCACCAGCAACGAAAUAUACGAGUUUGAAAAGUUCUAGGGGCGCCAGCUCCACACAAUCCCGGGAGACAAGGCCCUCUGCAGCAGAAAUCGAUGCGGUCACGGUCCGCUGAAUUGGAACUCAGCCCUACAUGUUUUGUUCUUAUCUUUACCAAUACAAUUUAUUACAUGUAAUUAACUUUUAUUGAAGAAAUUACUAUUUUGUUGUUAUUUAUAUUAAAUUACUUGUAAUCGUACUUUUAAAGCUGUUUGAGAUAUGUUUAAUAAAAAUGUUUCACUUUAUAAUUUUAAACGAAAUGAACGAAAAUAUCACUUUUGUAUUUUUGUAUACGAAACAUGGUUGCAUUUUUUAUUAAUUUGUCAUUACUAUUGUAUGAACUACACGUGAAAUUCAUACGUACAUGUUUUUAUAAAAUAAACGGUUUUGCUAUCUCCAUGCUCAUAAAUUAUAGUUUAUAAAGUACUGAAUAAAAUGGAAAGAAAUGGUUUUAGUUUAUAUCAAACAUAAAAUUGAUUUAUAUCAAAUUUUUGUAUUCUUCAUUAAGACGUUAAUGGACAAUCUCAAGGAAAUGUAAAACAGCAAUGUAAAGGAAAUUUUACAUCACUUUCAUACGAUUACAUUUGAGUUGAUUAACUUUUAUUUUUGAUCCUGUCAUCUAGAUUUUGUAACAUAUUAUUAGACUGUGUUUAUGUAGAUAUAUAAUUUAUUUUAUAUGGUUAUAUCAUGUAUGAGGAUAAUUUACUUAAUUUAGACGUAGUUAGGUUAUACGAUGAAUAAGUGACUAUUUUAACUAUCUUGCAUUGCUACAGAUUCUAAAAUUCAUUUAAGAUUUUAUUUUUUAUUCUCUGGCAUGCUGUAUAUCUUAUUGAAUUGUAUAUCGACAAAUUGAUAAGAACACUUUGGAUGAUUUAAGAUACAUGGCAAAAAAUCUUGUUUUUUAUUCUAGAAGUUGGCUUAAUAACUUCUGACCGAACAAAUAAAUAGGCAUGGGCAAGUAAAUGUGAGUGCGGAACGAAGUGCGUAGUUUGACCCCUAUUCUUGUGCUCAGGUAACCUUGACUUUCUCUCUGAAGGUCGUUGUAUCGUAAGCGGUUCAACGACUAAUUGCAAGACACUGUGACAUAACAGUUCAGACAUAUUGCUAAGAGUAUUACAAAGAUCUUUAAGAGGUCGCAACGCUCGUUCCCUGUUGUAUAGAUUUCGAAUCAGCCUCAAUGAAACCUGUUGUACUUCGUCCAUUUUUCCAAAGUUCAUAUCUAAAAAGAGGAAACUUUAAAUUUGUAAGUUUUAAAUUGUAACACAGAAGAGUAGACAACUGUAGAAGAGAAAGGUUGAUGUAACAUCUUAGUAUUCUCAUUCAGUAGCCUACAUUAUUAAUUGAAAUUAUCAUUUUUUUUUACUAAAUAAUGCCAGGUGUUUCAGCCAAUUAACCCUAGAUUAAAUAACUUUUGGGUCAAUUAUUAUAAUUUAAUUUCCACACAGCUAUUCUAUUAGUCUACUAACCUUCGUUACUCGGAUUCUUUGUUGUAGUUUUUUUUUAUUUAAUCACACUUAACGGAAUGUUAAAAUACAUUUAUAUUAUAUUUCUCAUGAAAAAUAUAAAUUAAUGCAGUUAGUAAGUUAAUUAUUUAAUAAUACGAGCAGUAUUUAACAAUAAAUAGUGUAUGACCUUUAAUAAACUUACUUAACUGGUAGGUCAGCACUCGCAAUUAUCUUACUAUUUAAGGUGAGGAUAACUUUAAUUUAUGGAUUAUGUAAAUCACUUUCAAAUAACUUGGGGUGGAGAUUUGCUCUAUUUUCCAAAAACAAUACGUGCCGUUUGAUUGGAUUUUCUCUUCCUGAGAAAUUACAUCCAUUUUGUUAGUUUUACAAUUGCACAUAUAAACUUGCUAGUAUUAUUUAUGUAACGUACAAUAUCGUUCAUUCAAUGGAUUUAUCGUGAUUUUACUUUUCAAUGCUAAACACUGUUAUAUUAUUCCACAUAGUAAUUAGGUGUAUUACAAUUUAUGCAAUCCAUGAUUUUUUAUUGUUUUUUCUUAUAGUAACAUUCUUGUAUUACUGAAUGCAAAUGGUUAUUUUA